rnacentral:rRNA from 1 species
UUCACACAUGCGUGAGCGCACAAAACACAUAAACCGUGAGUAAUUUUAGUCGAAACUUGAAAAACAAAAAAUACAAAACUUUCAACAACGGAUCUCUUGGUUCUCGCAUCGAUGAAGAGCGCAGCGAAAUGCGAUACCUAGUGUGAAUUGCAGCCAUCGUGAAUCAUCGAGUUCUUGAACGCACAUUGCGCCCGUCGGUAUUCCGGCGGGCAUGCCUGUCUGAGCGUCGUUUCCUUCUUGGAGUCUUCUCUUUUGAGAAGAUGCCAGAACUGGCCGUGCCACUGGCCCGGCCGAAAAGAAACGUUGCGGACGAAGCGAACUACAUCGGGACGCUUUGGCCGCCGAGCGAAAAUAUAUAUCAUUGAGCUCGACCUCAGAUCAGGUAGGAGUACCCGCUGAACUUAAGCAUAUCAGUAAGCGGAGGAA